UGAUUAGGAUCAAUUAAAGGUAUGGACUCUUGGAGUUUCAAUCUCAAAACAAAUGGAGAAUUGAAACUCGAUUUUCAAAGAAAAUAUUCAAGCUUAUCCUUCAAUGGUGAGGGUUUGAGGUUGUAGGUUCAAAGCUUGGGCAUGAGGUCCUUAAUUCUGAGCAAUUAGGGUCUUACUUAUAGGCCAUGAGAUUGAUUUCCACACACUUCCAAUUUUGGAAAAAU
rnacentral:lncRNA from 1 species